GACGAACGCUGGCGGCGUGCUUAACACAUGCAAGUCGAACGGAAAGGCCUCUUUCGGGGGGUACUCGAGUGGCGAUCGGGUGAGUAACACGUGAGUAACCUGCCCUUGACUUUGGGAUAACUUCAGGAAACUGGGGCUAAUACCGGAUAGGAGCUCCUGCUGCAUGGUGGGGGUUGGAAAGUUUCGGCGGUUGGGGAUGGACUCGCGGCUUAUCAGCUUGUUGGUGGGGUAGUGGCUUACCAAGGCUUUGACGGGUAGCCGGCCUGAGAGGGUGACCGGCCACAUUGGGACUGAGAUACGGCCCAGACUCCUACGGGAGGCAGCAGUGGGGAAUAUUGCACAAUGGGUGGAAGCCUGAUGCAGCAACGCCGGGUGCGGGAGGACGGCCUUCGGGUUGGAAACCGCUUUCGCUCAUGACGAAGCUUUGUGUGACGGUAGUGGGUAAAGAAGCACCGGCUAACUACGUG
rnacentral:rRNA from 1 species